CGGCAACGUUCUCGAUUCGGGUCGUAUUGACAGUGGUGAAACUGACUUGCGAGCCAAGAGGAGACAGAUGCAUAACGGAAAGCGCUGUCGAGUCUGGAAAGCCGCGUCGGUACGCAUCGCCGUUAGUAGAUGAAUAAACGUUGGAGAAGAAGAAACAACAUGGAAACAGUGUAAGGUUGACUCUACACAAAUUUACGAGGUCGAAACAUAGCUUCAAAUGGUACACAAUGGAUCACUAAAUGACAGUAAAAUGCGUCAAGAUACCGAAACACACGUUACACACUAGUACUUACUACAGCCACAGUACUGCAGUACUGUCGUAUAAAGGGUCCUUAAAACUCUAUAAAUUAAACUUCUAUUAAAAGGAACAAAAGAUUUACGAAGCAGCAGCCUUCUUCACUGCUCGCAGUACGAAACGAUGGAAAAACAAUGAAGGGCUACAGUUACAGUCGCUACACGAUAAGAAAACCAGACAAGCGCAUGCUGUCGCUACUGUGCACACCUUUAGGAGCCACCUGACCUUUCUUCACUUUCGACAACCAUUU